UGGGGCCUCUAAAUUGAUGAACACAGAUGAUUAGAAGACGAUACUCCACUAUUAGACAAUAAUUCUGAGUAACUAAGUGCCUCUUUAAACUUCCUGUUUGCCGCCAUUUCUCUCUCAUGUGUCAUAAUUCUGCGAUCAAGUAGAUACCUUUGUGUGGCUGUAGAUAUUAUAUAGAAGUAAAUUCUAUGAUGUUCGUAGAGCUUUUUAUAUUUUAUAGGUGAUGUUUACUAAUUUUAAUCAGACUGACCGCUUGCAUUUUAAAAUAAAUUUAUUUUAUCGCUACGAUAACGCUCUCAAAAUAUAUCAAACCUCAACUCCGCGCAUGUUAUUUCCUCAUUCCCUCAAUAUCGGUCAGGAGCGUCACAUGCUUGACAAAUAAUUAACAUAGAAGUACGAAAUAUAAACAAGUACAUUGUUGUUAAAUGUUUGUGCAAACCUAAAUACAUACACGUGCUCUACUCGUAUGAGCUAUGUCUACGUGCGAUCAUUCGCUUAUGUGACCGACUCAACAUGACACGGAAUAUGAUAUUUUUGGUGCUUUCUAUAAUGGUGCUUGCAAGCGGAGUCACAGGAUAUGUACUUCCAGCUGCUACUAAUGUUGUGUCUACGGAAAACUCAGAACAAGAUAUAAGGACUAUGCAGAGCGAUAGCAUACAAAAAGAAGAAAAAAUAUCGGACGAUUAUAGGAAAUACAGUUAUCUAAUUACCACUUAUUUAUAAAUUUAUAAGCAAGAUAGAUAUCUACUGAAUUUUGGCAAUUUUUGGCUAUUUCAUAUAUUGCUACACAAGAUGUAACAUCAAAAUCAUUUUAAAGUUAUUAUUUUGUGCCGGGAUGCGAAAAUCAAAAAAUGAUAUCACAUUUUUACUACAGAGGUUAGAUAAUGUCUUACAUCUUUUAAAAUUUGUUCCCCCUCAAAAAAUGAUUUUCAAGAAUAAAAUCGUAGAUUCCUACGCCCCGGUGCCUAUGCUAUCUACUUAUAAUAUUGACUUUGGCGUAAUAACCUGUGAGGGUUAUAUCAGGAUGAGGAUGAAAUCAGGUAAAUUAACACAUCAUGACGAAUUCACCACAAUGGUUUCUGACCGAGUAUUUAAUGAUCCCCAUUCCUUAGCUUGAUUAAGACAAACCUGUGCCCCGUGUUAGAUAUGGGUGUCCAAUGUAGCUUAUAUAAACAAAAAACCUAUAUAACAGAAAGGGCAAGAUAAGUGAAUCUAGCAAUAGUCGUAUACCCCGCGAGACAUGGAUCGAAAUAUAAAAAUAAUUUCAGAAUAUUUCAUUUUGUGUUACAUAAUGUUAAUGAUUGGCACAAUUUGAAAUAGUGUUUUAUAAUUUCCACAAAAGUUGCUCGAGAAAUAUUUCUAUGAAUGUUAAGAACCUAUCACUCUAUUUUGGAAAUUUUGUUAGAUAUAUGUUACCUAUUUAAUAUACAAUAUCUAUGUGGUAGGAUGAGUAACGUUAUCUCUCUGUAUUACUAUUUAACUACAAUGUAGCUUUACAUUUACAAAACUAUACGCUAAUAUUUUUUUUAUUAUACAAUUUUUAUCAUGAGAAAUAGAAUAAAAAGAUAA